rnacentral:rRNA from 1 species
GGAUAGAGCAUUGCAAUUAUUGCUCUUCAACGAGGAAUUCCUAGUAAGCGUGAGUCAUCAGCUCGCGUUGAUUACGUCCCUGCCCUUUGUACACACCGCCCGUCGUUACUACCGAUUGAAUGGCUUAGUGAGGUCUUGGGAUCGGCUUCGGGGAGUCGGCAACGACACCCUGUCGCUGAAAACUUGAUCAAACUUGGUCAUUUAGAGGAAGUACAAGUCGUAACAAGGUUUCCGUAGGUGAACCUGCGGAAGGAUCAUUA